ACUAUGACCUUCAAGUUUUAUAAAUUACAGUGUAACUGUGAUCUUUAUCUGUGCCAGGCAACAUUCAGAGAUUAGUAAAACUCUCAUGAGGCUAUACUCCUCAUCAUGAUCCCCAUUUUGCAGAUGAUGAAACAGGCACAGAGCAAGUCCAUUUGAAGUAAGUGGCAGAGCUGGAUAGAAUCUAGAUACCUUGGUUCUGAGCCCACAUGCUUCCAUGUCCCACUUAUCACUUGUCAUCUGGCCUGAAAGAUUAGCUUUAACCUACUACAUGUGGCAAUCUACUCCUGGCUUAGCCAAUAACAGAGGUACAGAAAGUCUCAGAUUUGCUAGAGCAGGUAAAUUUCGCUGCACUCUGUGUCCAGCUGGCUGAAGCUGAGUAACAUGAGUUACCUAAGUGAACUUGUCUGCUUGCUGACUCCAUACCAUCCAUUGAAUGGGAACGGCAGUGGAGGAAAUUUUAGUGGUUGUUCAAUUGAAUCCUAGCUCAGAGUUGUGACAAAAGUUCACAAUUUCUCAAAUGGACAAAGACUCUGGAAAUCAUUCAAGCAACAGUUUUUGGGAAGAAAGUGGCUUUUGGCUGUCUCCCAGUGGCUGACAUGAAGUUUCUGUCUUUGGCUUUACUUUUUUGUAAUUGCUUAGCCGCCGCCUCUGCAAAACCUCCUGCUACUUCAUUCCACACAUCACUAGACAGCCUCUCCUCACGUGCCCUUCCCCGUUGCUGGUGCCCCCUCUACGGGACCAGUACUGACAAAGCUGGAAGUUUUAGCCCUGAAGUCACCAUCUGGAACUUCUCAUAUUCUUGGGGAAACCUAACCAGUUGGUCCCUGCACCUGACAGACAUCACCCCCCGUCUGGCAGGUAAGCCUAUUUUCCUGUGACCUCACACCUGAUUCCUGUUUACUCUCUCCCUUGCCCAUGAUUGUACUGCUGUGUGUGUUCCCAGACCGGCCAGGGCCAGGUCGAGAGGAUGGGAUAGAAUGGCUGGGGUAGGGAAGCAUCAGGAAGUGUGUCUGAGAGAAGAGCUCAGGCUGCUCAGCCUGGAGGGGGAAGACUCAGAAAGGAAUAGCCACUGUCCUCAAGGCUCAGGGCUGCACCACAUCCUGCAAAUCUCCCUAAGGAAGGAGGGUCAGACUGGCUUGAUGGCUCCAGCACAGGCUACUUUUAAGUUGGGGAGUUCCGGGACUGGGGUGAGGAGCCAAGAACUGGCAGGUAAGCUGGGUUUUCCCGAAUCCCAUGUCCUGGUCACACAAGAAGCCUCUGUGGGAUGGAUUUACUGAAUGGGAUGAUGCUCCCAGAACUCCAGCCUGCCUUGCCCUCCCCUCUACCCAGUCCAGCCCAUUCCUACCUCCUGCUUGUGCCCGAAGAACCAGUGGGAAGGAGGGGACGGGAACUGCUGGACAGCUUUCAGCAGCCACUGCCUGCGCUGGUAGAGUUGUGCUGCCUUGAGCAGCAGCAGAGCCAGGCCUAGCAGGGAGGCCAGCUGCAGGAGCCCAGACACAGUGUCCAGGGGUCUGGUGAGGCUCAGUACAGAGACACUCAUGGUUCAGGGGCUGCUGGGUCACUGACUCUCCCUGAGUGUUGCUAAAAUCCCCUGAGCACCUGGCCUAGCCAAUCAGGGGAGGAUGGCCCUGCCCACCUGGAGGGGGAGCAAAGGGUGAGGGCAGAGCUUAGACUGGGAUUCCAGAGUUCAUUAACUGAGAGGAUCCACCUUAGCAAUCCAUAGGAAGGAAACCUUCUGAACAGACAGUGAUAAUGCCCAGGCACAUUCCCCUUUGCCCUUCUCCCCAUUAUUCAUCAAUUAUUUCAGGAGCACCUACUUUGUGCCCCACAGAGUGCUACGUGCCAGGCCACAGUGGUCAGCAAAACAGACGUGAACCGUGACUGCAAAAAAUGUACAGCCUAGUUUACCAAAUGUUCAGGAGGUGUGCUUGGGUUGAUGAUUAUCCCAUUUCUGAGAAAAGAACACUUACGGGGAGCUAACAUGAUGUGGCCAGAGGAAAAUUGCCUUUGAGAGGGCCAACUAAGAUUAGAAUCAGGGGGCCUCCAUACACUCUGCCCCAGCUGCCUCUGCACUGUUCCCCACACUUGUCCAGUCCAUCAUUCACUUGUGUCCUGGGCUGACUGUGCCGGCAGGCAGAGCACUGGCCUCACACUCAGGAGGCCCAGCCUCAGGGCUCACUCAGGACAUAUGAAGCCAGGCAAUCACACUCUCUGUGCCUCAGAUUCUCCUUCUAUAAGGGGGGUAAAGUUUCCUUUGCCAAGUUCCUCCCAGGAGUGCUCAUUCAUUCAGUCACUGAUACACUCAGCAAAUGCUUCCUGAGGUCACGCUCUGGGAGGUCAAGGCAGAAAACUAAGGCAGUACAGGGAAACUUGCUAAGGCCUGUACUGAAAGAGUGAAUAGUGGGCUGGAACAGGAGAGGGGACUAAGACCAUGACAGUCUAAGGGGGGCUGGAAGAGGACAGGAGGACUUUCCGAGGAUCUGCCUGGGUAGCCCCUUCUCUCCCACCCCCAGGGACAUAGGGCCUGGCUGGUACAGUGGGCUGCGGAGGGGCCUGGCAUUCACUCACAUUUCUGAGGCAGUAGACAGGGAGCCUGGACAAAGUUGGGUCCUGGGCCGCCAGUUCCCUUAUGCCCACCCUCUCUGGUUUGGACCCUUCCUCGGCUUCCUAAACAUCUGUGAGCCUGACCUCUCUAAAGUUUGGUAUAGCUGAGGGUGUCAGCAUUCCAGGAGAGGGUAGGGCUUCCUGAGAGCAAAGAGCUCAGGCACCAUGUGGGAAGGAGUACUGGGGCUUGCGUCGAGCUUGGGGAGCUGAGGUCCAUGCAUGUUCUAUUUAUCCGCAAGCCUCCCUGGGAACUUCCCAGGCUGUGCAUGACCUGAUCAUCUUUCCUGUACAAAUCCCAUGACCCCAAGUGUGUUUAAUUUCUUCCUCCCAUGGAUUGCAGAGUGGGCACUGACCUUCCUUGCCCAACACUUUCCAGACCAUUGGUGCUGCCUGAACAUGACCCUUCCCUGCCCUUUCCUACUCUGCUGUGACCUCCCUCAGUCAGGCAUCCCAUCAACUUGGAAUGGGCAAUUCCUGGUCCCCUAGUCCCCUUUCUUACUUCAGCUUCUCAGUAAGAACACAGGGAGAACAUAAGAAAGCUACUGGGUGGUCAGAAAUUGGAGCUCAGAUACAUUGCACUUCUGGGUCUCUCAGGUUGUUCCUUUCUUUUUUUUUUUUUUUUUUUCUUGACCCCAGGGAAGCUUCUUUUCUAAUAGUUUUCUUUUUCUGGUAGAACUCUGACUAAGAUAAAUAUUGGUACCAGGAAUGGUUCUAUGAGAAACAGAAUCCUAAUGAUUUACCUGAAUUGACUCUGGAUUUCUUGAAUUGGUGCUUCAAGAGGAUUAGUUGGAAAGACACUGAUGACUCCAACUCCCAAAGGUAAAGAGGACAAUGGUAGCCCAGGGCCUGAUGCUGCAAUACACAGGACAUCACCAGUGAUACUGGUAAUCAGAGACUUGUUAAAGGGAAGGUUCUGGUCAGUAUGUAUUUGAUGCCUUAAAGCAUUUUAGCCAAACUAAGGAGCAUAAGAAGGUUGACUGGAUAUCCAUGUUGUACUGGAGAGAGUGGGAAAAGGAAAGAGUAAUGUGGAGGAUUAAAAUUCUCUGACCAAAAAAGAAAUAACUGACCCAAGGGACGACUAGGUGGCUCAGUGGUGGAAUCUACUUUCGGUUCAGGUCGUGAUCCUAGUUCAGGUAUGGCGUCCCACAUCAA